rnacentral:rRNA from 1 species
AACUCUCAACAACGGAUAUCUAGGCUCUCGCAACGAUGAAGAACGCAGCGAAAUGCGAUACGUAGUGUGAAUUGCAGAAUUC